GACGAACGCUGGCGGCGUGCUUCACACAUGCAAGUCGAACGAAGUGGCGCACGGGUGAGUAACGCGUAAUCAACCUGCCCUUCAGCGGGGACCAACAGUUGGAAACGACUGCUAAUACCGCAUACUGCAGCAGGGGAUUGCGUCUGAUUAGCUCGUGGGCGGGGUAACGGCCCACCAAGGCGAUGAGUAGUAGCCGGUCUGGGAGGAUGAACGGCAACAUUGGGACUGAGACACGGCCCAGAAUCCUACGGGAGGCAGCAGUGGGGAAUCUUCCGCAAUGGACGAAAGUCUGACGGAGCAACGCCGCGUGAGUGAUGACGGCCUUCGGGUUGUAAAGCUCUGUUAAUCGGGACGCGGUACCGGAAUAGAAAGCCACGGCUAACUACGUGCCAGCAGCCGCGGUAAUAC
rnacentral:rRNA from 1 species